GAGAUUUGGCAAUUGAAUUGCAUGCAUUUUUGCAUGUAAUUAGGCUAUAAAUAGAGAUGUUUUCAAAUGUUGAAGGACUUUUGCCUCUUUUAUCAUUUUCAUAAUCUCAACAAAAGAAAAAAGAAAGCUUCCAAUCUCAUUUUAUCUCCAUUACUUUCUACAAAAAUUGGGUCCCACAACCCGGUUCUUUGUCUAGAGGAUAGCAGUUGAGUACUAGUGGUGGUCUCGGGUAGAAUUGGUAAGAAGACAUCAAACCUUUUGAAAGCUUCAAAGGUAAUACUUCUUAAAACCCUAAUUUGAUUAGUUUAUGGUUAGAUGUUAAUUGUGGCAAUUAGGGUAGAAAUUCGAUUCUUUUUCCGCUGUGCAUGACUUAGUUCUAUCAUGUGGUAUCAGAGCAUGCUUCAUUUUUACCCAAUUGCAUGUGGUGGGUUCAUAUUUAUUAGAUAAAUUUUGGUUUGAACUAAAAUGGAUAUAUUAUGAUUUUGGCUCUAGAUUAAGUGUUUUUGUUCUAAUUAUUGUAAUUAGCCUUGUUAAUGGCUUAUUUUUAUUGUUGCAAAGUGUUUGUAAUUUUUUAAAAAAAUAAAAAAAGUCAUUAGAGUUGAAGCUAGGCUGUAAUUGGUUCAACCGGGUGAGAGAAUUGAAAAAAAUGAAGAAAAGAAGGUCACAGACCCGAAAACCCGGUUUUGACCCGCUUCGCGACCCGCACGCGCCGCAUGCCCGCGCGCCCUCCUGCGCCGCGCGCCCUCCUGCGCCCGCGCCCUCCUGCGCCGCGCGCCUGCAUGCGCCCGCGCCUGUGCCGCGCCUGUGCGCCUGCGCAUGCGCGCGCGCCUUCGCCGCGCGCGCCUGCCUUCGCACGACCCGUGUGCGCCUGGGCCGGUUCAAGCCAAUAAAUUUGGUUUUUGGGCCGGUUCAAGCGGUUUCGGUUGGUUUUUUAGCCGGUUCGAAGUUUUUGGGAGUGGUUCUGUACUACAAAAUUAAUUAAAUUAAUUUAGCACUUAGCUUAAUUUAGGAGCCAAAAAUCAGUCCAUUUUAGGGUGUUUUUUUUAUUUAUGCAUGUGAUGUAUGAUUAAAUUACUUUAAAUUUGUAUGUGCAUUUUGAAUGUCAUAUAGAUUUAAAAUCCCACCAUAGGUUAACAUGUUCAUGCAUUAAAAUGUAUGAUAUAAAGGUUAUAUUGUAUUGUAUGCAUGUUAAUUGAUUAAUAUGGAAAUUAAUUAAUAUGAUUAAUUAAUUAUUUAAUUAAUUAAGUUAUUCUUGAUUAAAUAUGAUUUAAUCAAAUUAAUUAAUUAUUGUUUGAUUUAAUUUAAUUAAAUAUGAUUUAAUUAAAGUUAAAUAAAUUAAAAUCCAUAUUAAUUGAUUGUUUUUAUAAUUAUAUAUUGAUAAAAUGAUUGAUUAAGUUAAAGUUUUUUAAGUGUUAUAAAAUAAAUUAGACUUUUAAAAUCAAUAACAAAGAUUAAAUGCAUGCUCACUUAGGUUAAACAUAUCUUCCAUUUUUCAUAGAAAUAGGUCGAUAUCUUGUAAAACUGGUUACAAAAGGCUCACCUGGUUCAAUCUUGUCAACAAGUCAGAUAAGAUGACUAAGGUUGGAGGUUCUUAAGUUGACGGUUUACGGAACACCUCCUACCUGGAGAUCGUAAUCAGUUCUUGAGCCUAGUUAACCUAGUUUUAUGAGCAUUCGUGAGAGGUGUGAGGUAAUAAAAAUGGUUUUUCACCUAGACAUCAUAGGUUAAAAUCCUGUAUAAUGGUUAUACUUGGAUGUUUUAUCUAGACUUAAGAUUUGUUUAAGUUAGCCUAAAUAUAAAUCUUGAAGUUUGGAUUACCCUAUUUUUUUCUUUUAGAACACUUCAACUAGAGAAAAAUAAUGUAUUUUAGCUCUAGUGUCCCUAAGAGUUCACACCGUGAGGUCCAUGCAGGGCUUUGUGCCGUGCAUAGGAGCGGCCUCCCUUCGGAGAGUGUUUGCAUGGAUCAAAAUCAAGGUGAAUAGGGGAAGUAGUUCAUAGUAAGUGGGUGAGGGAUUUGUGGCAGCACAUCCCACGGUCUCUUCCAUUAGGUCGCACCGUGAGAUUUCUAUAAUAUGCCUGCUUGUCUGCCCUGGAGCGACGUUCCCUUCGGAGGGUUGUAUUAUAGGAUUCGGAACACCGCGAACUCCAAAACUGGAUAGGAUUUCUUAGAUUAGUUUUCAUAAAUGAUUCUAAUCUAUAAAAUCUGAAAAUGGUGGGUAACACUUACAAGAAUUACUAAGUUGUUAGUAUAUUCUUGACUAAAGUAGCGAUAACUAAGUGCUAUAAAGAAUAAAGAGUUAUUCUUGAGAUAGCAUCUAGUCAAGAUUGUCUUGGUUCAAAGGAGGAAUAAUCAACUACCCUUCGGAGAAGGUUGUUCUAAACCUUUGAAAUAUUGUUGCAAAAUACAAAUAAUGAAAGGGUACAUUAUUAGUAAUUGCUAAAUUAGAUUGGAUAUUUUUUAUGAUUAUAGUUUUUUCCUAAAAAGAAUAUGUUUGUUUUUCAGCAUGAAUAGCUCAAUAGUUCAACUUUUAGCUUCCGAAAAACUUAAUGGCGAUAAUUAUGCGGCUUGGAAAUC
rnacentral:lncRNA from 1 species